GAUGAACGCUGGCGGCGUGCUUAACACAUGCAAGUCGAACGGAAAGGCCCUGCUUUUUUGGUGUGCUCGAGUGGCGAACGGGUGAGUAACACGUGAGUAACCUGCCCUGGACUUUGGGAUAACUUCAGGAAACUAGUGCUAAAACCGCAUAGGAGCUCCUGCUGCAUGGGGGGGAUUGUAAAAUUUCGGCGGUUGGCGGGGGUGUCGGGGGUUAUCAGCUUGUUGGUGGGGUAGUGGCUUAACAAGGGUUUGACUGGUAGGCGGCCUGAGAGGGUGACCGGCCACAUUGGGACUGAGAUCACGCCCCGACUCCUACGGGAUGCAGCAGUGGGAAAUCAUGCACAAUGGGCCGAAGCCUGAUGCAGCCACGCCGCGUGCGGGAUAGCGGCCUUCGGGUUGUAAAACGCUUUCGACUGUGACGAAGCGUGAGUGACGGUAAUGUGUAAAGAAGCACCGGCUAACUACGUG
rnacentral:rRNA from 1 species